rnacentral:lncRNA from 1 species
GUUUUUUAACUUAUUAUAGUAAUACUGAAAAAUGUAUUUUGUGGGCGAGGAAGUUAGAUAAAUAAAAUUAAAUAAAAAAUAAGUAUAUUUAAAACAAAACCAUUUGGCAAACUUUAAGAGUCAUAAGUUUUGCUUGUUUUUGUACUUCAAAUAUGAAUUUUUUUUCAUAUUGGUGAAUAAAAAGAAGCUGCAAUAAAAAGUCAAAAAUGUAGUGAUAAGAAGGUGGCGGAGCAAGAAAUUGGACGAUGGUUGAGGAGAGCCGGGGAUCGCUUAAAAACUUUCAAGGAAAAGGAAUCAGAAUAAAAAUUGAAUUUAUUUAUUUUUUAAACAAUAAAGAUAUAUUCAGCUA